AUCACAUGUUCUUCUUCCAUCCUACUCACCGUUCUGUCAUCUGGUGGUGCUAUCAGUCCCUCCUGGUACCUGAAACCAGAACAAAGACGAAGACAGCAUUUCCAGCCUUUUUCAUGCAGCAGCAAAGCAGAGAGGGAUGAGAGGCUUCCUCCAGCGAGGUUUUCAGGAAAAGGGACAGAGCGACGCUGGGAUGUUAGCACCGCUCACGCCGGAUCGUGGACGGACAGAACCCGUGCUGGUAAGGAGGCAGAGGACGAAGCCAAACCAGGAGCUAAAAUGAGAACAAAGCUUACUUUUCCAUCUCUCCUUCCCUGAACUUAACGGAGAAGAUCUUUUCAGACAGCACAGAUAAUCAAAAGCCCUCUCUGGCCUCUGAAUGAAAUGGGACUACUCGAGUUUAAAGCCAGCCAGCCACUUUGAUCUGAAGAUAGCAUCGCUGACAUCACUGAGUGCGCGCCUGAAAGGUGGCGUCACAAGAACAGAGGACUCUCAGAACGGCGGCUGGCUUUGAGAGGCAUGCUGGGAUUUGCCUUGGAUGUGAAAACAGGAUUGCAGAGGGCAGGUGUGAGGCAGUUUCCUCCACUUUCAGCAUCAAAGGCUCACGCUGCAGCGACUCAACCCCACAAGAAGUCGGUCCUAUUUGAAGCGGCGGCCUCCCCCAGCGUCCCGCCGACCCGUGAGAAGUGCUCCUUCUCCAUCAGCUCCAUCGAUAAUAGAGUCAAACCCAAGAAGCACUUCAUUCGUCAAUGGCAGCCCUUAAAGCCGGGGGAGGGUUUUAAAGACAGAGAGGCGUGGCUAUGGCACUGCUAAGUGAGUGACUUGGAUCAGAACCAGGACCAGAACCAUGUUAAAACUAAAAUUAUCCACACAUGUCCAUAAUCUACUACAUUACAGUAAAAUCUUCUACAAAAGACAGAGAAAAGUCUGGUUUACUCUGUACAGACUUCUUCAAGUUUCACACUUAAUCUGUGGCUCAAAUCUUUGGGAGAAACCAUCUCAAGAACAAACCAUUUCAAGCAUCUUCAAUGCUAAACUCCAAGUAAACGUCUAACAUUUGUUCAAUGGAUUCAUACAUAUAAAGUUAAAGGCUGUUAGAGAGAAAGGAAAGAUAAAUCCUUUCUCUUAACAUGUUCCAGGGGAACAUUGGAUUCUGAUUGGCAAAAACAAGCCAUAAGAGGCGAAUUUACCCUCUGAAAUGAUGCUUUGGACUACUAACAUGACAUUUAGCACACAUGCUGUUUGGUCCUCAGGUCUGAUCACACUGGUCCAUCUGCAUGGGGAGUCAGUCUCAUGAUUAAUGGUUUACACAGUCUCUGUUGCAUUCCUGACCCAUCCCCUCCCCCUGGCUUCUGUAGAAGUGCUUUGUUCUGUAAAUGUCCCUGUAAAAUGCAUGUUUAGUGUCAUCUACCAUGUUAUGUUUUUGCCAUCACUGACUGUGUUAAUAUACGUUUUCGCUUUGGCACGUCCCGUUAAACAUAUAGAUUUUUUUCUUUUUGAUUAUUAUUUGUUUUAUUAUUAAAUAUUUUAAAAGGACAGAGGAAGUUUUUACUUUGAAACCUGGACCCGUUUGUCGGUGCUCUGCUUUUUGUGGUGAAAAUUGACGGACUGGAGCUAGGAUUCCUGCGUAGAGCUAGCAUUCCAUUGCAGAGGGACUGAAAAACGAACACUCUAUCUUUUUGCGUCAACACAACGGCGAUGCACCGCAGACGGACCCGUGUAAACCAGGCGUCAUCAGCAUGGUCGGUGCAGCCUCGGUAGCCGUUGCCACGAAAAUGAGUCGUACUGCGUAUCAAAUAGCUUGUAAACAAUGAUUUAAAUGUCAAAAAUAAUAAGAAUAAAGUAUCAAGAUUUGAUUUGAUAUUUAUUUCUUCUGUAAAUGUGUAUGGUAAGAGCAGGAUAAUGUCUUCCAGGUGUCCAUCAUCAGAACUUAAUGGACGGCGUGGGGGUGGGAAGGCUUUCCCCCUAAAUUUUAGCUCAAAGUACACAGAAGGGAAAGAGGGAAAAAGGAGAGGAAGGUCUGAUGGAUAGAACCGGAUGGAUCUGGACCAGAAGCGUCUCACUCUCAGGACUUUACAGUUUCAACGCUCUUCUAUUUAGUUCUGUAUCUCAUCUUACGUCUGGUCUUUUUUCCAUCUUCUCUGUAGCGUCUGGACCCGUCAGGUCACAGUGAUUCCAGCAGUUUUGCUCGCCGCCCAGUCUCCAUCCAGAUUCACUUUUUAUGAUUUCACUCCCUGGAAACUUCAAAGGAGCACGGCGGCUCCUCCUAGUAUAGUUCAGCCAACUUUUCCUCUGAAGUUUUCCAUGUUGUUCUCCUCUGGCUGUCACCUGACCCCCCCUCACACUGUCAGUGGCUCUGAAGACCUCAAUGAUGGGGGGUCUGUGGAGCAUCCACACCGAGUGGAGGGUUAGAUGGAGGCAGCCUGAAGGAAAACGAGGACCAAAGACGGUUUAACUGGGCCGUUAACUGGUCAAGGAUGGAUGUAAACACGGGGAAUCAGUUUCAUCACGGGUGUGUUCCUUCUACUUGACUGUCAUCAGGUGAAGCAGCAAAGACAGGUAGGCGGUCCUAAAGAUCCACCUUGAUUUUGCGAGCCUCAGAAUCCCCCAAACAAAAGUUGGUUCAGUGUUUGUGAGUGAGGGAUGAGCGGUGUGGCUCCAUGAACGAUUCAGCGGAGGGGAAUUGUGCCGUGACCAGCCGCCUCUCCGUGCCUAAAGCCUUUCCCAAACAAUCAGGGAUCGCUUUGGGAGUGUGUGUGGCUGUCUUUGUGUUGCUGCGCACACGUUGCAGUGGAGCAACGUGUGCGUGUGGAGCCGAUCGGGGAGGUGGCCCCGGGGCCGCAGCCGGAUCAGAUUGAGUUGGCAGUCAGAAAGAGAUGCUCAGCCUUAAUCUGAUUGUGGCUCCAAACUACACACUCAACUGGCUGUGAAAAAAAAAGAACCACACAACACACACACACACACACACUGUCCCAGCACCUGUGAGGCAACUGAUGCAAACCGACGGAUCAAAUCAUCCAAAGCAGGAGAUGAGCAGAAGCUCCACUCUAUCCAGCUAAAACUUCUGCUGAUGAGUAACUUCUGCUGCAUUUUGUGGGAAAGGCGUGUUUGUUCUCAUGGAGGCAAAGCAGAUUAGAGGAGAAAAAAACGGGCUAAAAAUCAGGAAACAUAUAAAAGGGGUCACUGACUUUGCCGGCCUAAAUCUCUGUGGACGUGUGUUUUGCGGCUUUGGGGCUUUGACUGUGUGUGCUCUGUCACCGCCAGUCUUCACUCUCACUCUGUGAUGAGAGAAAAAUCUCCUGCCAGGGGAACCCACGGCUGCACGAGUGCUUCUGCGCGUCAGGUCACAUCUACCGCUCGGCGGAAGCCCACCCAGGGCUCCCAGUCAACGGCAAAAGUUUGACCAACCGCCGGAUUCAGAGACGAGAACUUCCAGCCGCUGUGAACCCGAGCUUCACUGAAGUUCUUCCUCCAACCUCACAACCUGACAGGUCCACUGAAAAGGAAGUCUUAGGGGGAAAAAAACGGUUUCAAACUUGGACAAAUCCUAACCCUAACCUGAGACGGACACCAGGAUCUCGAUGGACAUCUCUGAGAUCAGUCGGGAUCACGGGAAGGAAAAAAGGCUGAAUUCCAUGUUUGGCUGUGAGGACCACAUGCUGCAGACUGUCAAAUGUGUGACAAACAGGACGCCAACAUGGACAUCAGAGGACAUUCAGUGAUAGUUUUUUGUUGCUACCCUGAGCAUCAGAUAAACUUCACUCAGCAUCACCGAUGGCCUCCCGUUGGCUCUUGAUGAGGCUGUGAUGUUCACUGAAGAAAGGAAGCAGCAGGUGGGAGGAGCUAAGAGACAGAGUUCCUGUAUUCAAGCACUUUUUCACUAAGUAAGUAAGUAGCAUACUGAUCGAUGACUUGCAAUCUUAACUGAAGGAGUCAUGAAGAAAGUAAAAGGUCAGUCCAGCCUCCAGGAAGUCCGUCUGAGUUUACCAUCAAACCUAGAAAAACUGUCUUCAACGCAUCGUCCCAGAAGGCUUAGUCUUCUUCAGUCCUUCGCCACUCGCCACAGAGACAGCUUCUUCCCCCGAGCUGUCACUCUAAUGACCUCCUGACCACUAAAGAACACGGAGCAAUACCACGGAAACUGUCACACCGGAACUACGGCUGCAUUUUGACUUAGUCUUUUUUCUUAUUAAGUUAUGUUUAUUUAUUCCUAUAUCUAACUUAUAUUGCUUUCUUUUUUAUUUUUUAUCCUUUUUUGUCUUACCCCCCUCAAACAUUUUUAUCUAGUUUACACGAGAGCACAAGAGGAGCCAGUUUAGCUCGUGCUGGUUUGCGGCGCCUUCCAUCCGUGAAACCCGAGUUCGACUCCGGGCUGCUCCCUGUUCCCUUCUCUACCUA